rnacentral:rRNA from 1 species
GACGAACGCUGGCGGCGCGCCUAACACAUGCAAGUCGAACGGAGCUUAGAGAGCUUGCUUUUUAAGCUUAGUGGCGAACGGGUGAGUAACGCGUGAGUAACCUGCCCUAGAGUGGGGGACAACAGUUGGAAACGACUGCUAAUACCGCAUAAGCCCACGGUACCGCAUGGUACUGAGGGAAAAGGAUUUAUUCGCUUUAGGAUGGACUCGCGUCCAAUUAGCUAGUUGGUGAGGUAACGGCCCACCAAGGCGACGAUUGGUAGCCGGACUGAGAGGUUGAACGGCCACAUUGGGACUGAGACACGGCCCAGACUCCUACGGGAGGCAGCAGUGGGGGAUAUUGCACAAUGGGGGAAACCCUGAUGCAGCGACGCCGCGUGGAGGAUGAAGGUUUUCGGAUUGUAAACUCCUGUCGUUAGGGACGAUAAUGACGGU